GGGGGGGGGGGGGGGGGGGCGGAAGGGGGGCGGGUGGGACGGGAAGGCCUCUGUCGGGGGGUACUCGAGGGGCGAACGGGUGAGUAACACGUGAGUAACCUGCCCUUGACUUUGGGAUAACUUCAGGAAACUGGGGCUAAUACCGGAUAGGAGCUCCGGCUGCAUGGUGGGGGUUGGAAAGUUUCGGCGGUUGGGGAUGGACUCGCGGCUUAUCAGCUUGUUGGUGGGGUAGUGGCUUACCCAGGCUUUGACGGGUAGCCGGCCUGAGAGGGUGACCGGCCACAUUGGGACUGAGAUACGGCCCAGACUCCUACGGGAGGCAGCAGUGGGGAAUAUUGCACAAUGGGUGGAAGCCUGAUGCAGCAACGCCGUGUGCGGGAUGACGGCCUUCGGGUUGUAAACCGCUUUCGCUCAUGACGAAGCUUUGUGUGACGGUAGUGGGUAAAGAAGCACCGGCUAACUACGUG
rnacentral:rRNA from 1 species